AUUGAACGCUGGCGGCAGGCCUAACACAUGCAAGUCGAGCGAGCGGAGGACGGGCGAGUAAUGUAUGGGAAACUGCCUGAUGGAGGGGGAUAACUACGGGAAACGGUAGCUAAUACCGCAUACCAUCAGAUGUGCCCAGAUGGGAUUAGCGAGUAGGUGGGGUAAUGGCUCACCUAGGCGACGAUGCCUAGCUGGUCUGAGAGGAUGACCAGCCACACUGGAACUGAGACACGGUCCAUACUCCUACGGGAGGCAGCAGUGGGGAAUCUUGCACAAUGGGGGAAAGCCUGAUGCAGCCAUGCCGCGUGUGUGAAGAAGGCCUUCGGUUUGUAAAGCACUUUCAGCGGGGAGGCGUUACUCGCAGAAGAAGCACCGGCUAACUCCGUGCCAGCAGCCGCGGUAAUAC
rnacentral:rRNA from 1 species